rnacentral:rRNA from 1 species
AACGAACGCUGGCGGCAGGCCUAACACAUGCAAGUCGAACGCUGUAGCAAUACAGAGUGGCAGACGGGUGAGUAACGCGUGGGAACCUUCCCAAUGGUGCGGAAUAGCCCAGGGAAACUUGGGGUAAUACCGCAUAAGCCCUUAGGGGGAAAGAUUUAUCGCCAUUGGAUGGGCCCGCGUCGGAUUAGCUAGUUGGUGAGGUAAUGGCUCACCAAGGCAACGAUCCGUAGCUGGUUUGAGAGAAUGACCAGCCACACUGGGACUGAGACACGGCCCAGACUCCUACGGGAGGCAGCAGUGGGGAAUCUUGGACAAUGGGCGCAAGCCUGAUCCAGCCAUGCCGCGUGAGUGACGAAGGCCUUAGGGUUGUAAAGCUCUUUUGCCGGGGACGAUAAUGACGGUACCCGGAGAAUAAGUCCCGGCUAACUUCGUGCCAGCCGCCGCGGUAA